GCGGGUGUCGCCAAGUGGUAAGGCAUCAGCCUUCCAAGCUGAUAUGCGUGGGUUCGAAUCCCAUCACCCGCU
rnacentral:tRNA from 1 species